rnacentral:lncRNA from 1 species
CACAGUACCUAGAUCACAACUUUAGAUACUAGAUGAUACUAGAAGAGGCCUUCUUGGUUCAGUCAGGAGAUAUUCUUCUGGCCAUAUCAUUAAAGCAUUAUUUUCUAUGGACCAACGAGCAACUACUCCAAAUAUUGUAAAGGAACAAAACUAUACCAAUUGCCGACACUAUCCACAGGUUUUUACUGAUGCUUUUUGAUUGGAAGAAGAAACCUUAUAUUUAUGUCUAAGAAAAUGAAUGAAAGAAUGGACCCAGCUCAACAAAAAUAAGUCAUUAUUCAUGGAAUAGAUAUGAACAAUUGCUGAUCAGGAUGGAGUUCUUCCAGAACAGUCUAUGGAAAUGUCUAUACAAUCUAUGAGAUUCCCAGGGUUUUGAGAUUAAAAUCAAUGUGCUUGAGAAACAACCACAACAGAAAUACCAGCUGCCUUUUGAAAACAAGGGCAUUGGGGAAUGAAUGGGAUUGCAUGUUUCUUCUGUUCUGUGUUCAAGAGCUUCGAUGGCUACUGUGUUACAUCAGGAAUGGCCAGUGGCUGGACCCCACCCUCCCCCACUCCCUUUUAAUUCAAUGACUACGUGGGGGCUUCUUUGAUGGAGGCUUUGAAGUCGGUGGCUUUGAGAUUACUCUUCCUCUGUGACCUUGACCACCAGCCAUGAGGUGCCCAGGCUAACUAUACCUGUUGAAGUCUGAGGACCAUGCUCAAUCUGUCCUCUGCUCACUGUCCCUAGAAUAGUUGGUCCCAGCCCUGGGAUAGUGGGGCUGGUGACCCUGGAACAGCACCGGAUAGCUGGUCCUGCCACUCACAGGAAAGCUGGCCCCACCCCUCACCUAAGGCAACUAUUCCCAGAAAUCCAGACAGCAACUCAGAUACCACACAGGCACAUAUCUGGG